rnacentral:rRNA from 1 species
CCUACGGGUGGCAGCAGUGGGGAAUAUUGGGCAAUGGAGGAAACUCUGACCCAGCAACGCCGCGUGAAUGAUGAAGGUCUUCGGAUUGUAAAGUUCUUUUCUAAGGGAAGAAGAAAGUGACGGUACCUUAGGAAUAAGCCGCGGCUAACUACGUGCCAGCAGCCGCGCUAAUAAGUAGGCGGCGAGCGUGAUGCGGAAUGACUGGUCGUAAAGGGUGCGUAGGUGGAUUGGCAAGUUAGUAGCGUAACCCCAAGGCUCAACAUUGGAACUACUACUAAAACUGUUGGACUUGAGUGCAGGUGCGGCAAGAGGAAUUCCUAGUGUAGCGGUGAAAUGCGUAGAUAUUAGGAGGAACACCAGUUGCGAAGGCGGGUUACUAGACUGUAACUGACACUGAGGCACGAAAGCGUGGGGAGCAAACAGGAUUAGAUACCCUAGUAGUC